rnacentral:misc_RNA from 1 species
UCACCACUCAAGCCUGGCUUGGUGUUGGGCUGCGCCGGUUCUGGCGAGCCCUAAACCCAGUGGCGACCCCGACAGGGCUCCGAGCGUAGUAAUUCUCUCGCUUUGGGAGCCCUGCCGGCGGGCGGCCAUAACCUCUCUUCU